rnacentral:lncRNA from 1 species
CUCCCUGGCGCAGCUCGGCAAGUACACCAGCGACGGCGAGGCCGCAGCUGCCAAAGAGAACAUGUUCGUCAAGAACUACAGCUACUGAUCCGUCGGCGAGCUGUCCUAUCUACAUAAUCUACCUACGGAGGGAGAGUGCUAGUAGCGCCUUGAGCAGCUUGAGGGCACCUUAGCCAGCCAGUGUGUCGUCGUUGUUACAGGUCGAGACCAGCUCUGAUGGAAGAGAUGGACGGAGAGCAUAUACUGUGUUUUACCACCCUAAGUAAAAAAACUUUGGAAUGGUUUUACUGCUGUAUUCGCAUGUUUUUUUUCUUCUC